AGGACGAACGCUGGCGGCGUGCUUAACACAUGCAAGUCGAGCGGAAAGGCCUUUCGGGGUACUCGAGCGGCGAACGGGUGAGUAACACGUGAGUAAUCUGCCCAUCGCUUCAGGAUAGCCAUCGGAAACGGUGAUUAAUACUGGAUAUGACAUUCCUUCGCAUGUUGGGGUGUGGAAAGUUUUUUCGGCGGUGGAUGUGCUCGCGGCCUAUCAGCUUGUUGGUGGGGUAAUGGCCUACCAAGGCUUUGACGGGUAGCCGGCCUGAGAGGGUGACCGGCCA
rnacentral:rRNA from 1 species